AUCCCAAGUCAACUAGGAAGGCCUCUUUCUUCUGCUUUGCAACAUAGGCAGCAGGGUCUUCUUGGGGAGAGGUCUAAGAUUUCUAUGAGUACACUAAACAAGAACAUUGUAUCCAGUCAGCCGCCCCUUGUUUCAUCAUCUGCUGAUUUGACUAUUCCAAAGACAACUGCUACACCGUUGUUACUAGCUUCACCUCAUCAGUCUACUAGUGUGUCAACGAGUUUGCAUACUGGAUUUCUGCGUUCUCGAAGUACCUCAGGAUUGCCUAGGCAACCUUCAUAUACUACUGGAUUUGGGAUUGCUUUAAAUAUAGAGACACUUGUUGCCG